rnacentral:misc_RNA from 1 species
AGACACAGAUGCGAAGGCCGCACCGCCGUGUGCUCCUGCACACACUCGGACACACACACACAACACACGACAUGUCUUGUCGUUUUUUUCUUCAGAGACGGAAGGGAGGGAGGGAGGGGGGUGCAGCGCUCUCGUGUGAGUGAACUCCGGACGAUGCAGGCCAGCCCCCUAGGGCAAGAGAAAACGAGGAUCAAGGCCAUCGCGGGCUGCCUUCCCACCCCCGCCAGGAGUUCCCUCCCCGACCGCGAAACCCUCCAGCGCGCCCCCUAUGCUCUUCGUUUUCUCCCUUGAUCAGCAAGUGACUACACAUGUCGCUGGGCCCGUGCUGCUCUUGUGCGUAUCGUUUUACGCGGACCUCGCCGCGCACGAUGGAGCUACGCUGCGGUGCGACGGGAGCGUGAUACUGACUCUCGGUGGUGGUCCCGCCUGCUGCUGCUUCGACAACACCAGUCACGUGGAUGCAAAUGAAUGCAUCUAUGAGGGAGGGAAGCGUACCUGCACCUCCUCUCCAGCGGUGACAGUGAGGCGCAGGCCUCGGAUAGUAAAGGAGGAUGGCACGGCGGCGGUGGCGGCAGACCGUGAGCGAUACGCAGACCCCGGCUCCGCGAGCGCCUACGGGCCGGCCCUGCUUUUAGAGUAUGUGGCGCUGCGGUACGUGCGCACCGUCAGGGCCGCCUUGCAAGCACCGGUGCCAUCGUAUCCGCUCUGCACCCUCCACGUCGCCCCUCCGCAACUCGUGGACGUCAGCGCCACCGUCCCGCAUCCCUACACUCGCUUUUUCCAGCUGCAGUGAAGGGGAGCCGCCGCCGCUCCCGUAGUGCUGGCGGGGCUGUCGGCAAGACGUGCACGCUUGCGUGUGCACCUGCGAUCACGACCAACUCUCCAGCUGGGAAACUCGCGGACAAAGAGGAAGCCGUGACAGCGGACAACUUUCUCCUCACCACCGUGGAGCUGCGAUCGCAGCGCGCGGCAGCCGCUCUCCGUGGCGUUGUAUGCUGACUACGUGCUGCUUGCCCUGUCCAUCACUCCAUCACUAACUCCACAGAAUAGAGGGAGUCACAGUAGCGACUCACCUGGCCGAGUAGCGGAGGGGGUGGGCCGGCGUUUGCACUCACCCCCACCCCCCCGCGUCGCCGCAGUACUGCAGGCGUGUGAGGAGGCAGGUGCUGAAGUGGGACGCACCUGCGGUGGACAAGCAUCUCGGGCGCAGCGUCGGCGGCAUCGACGUUCUUCGCCUGCGCUUUACACCUUCGGGCACGAGUCGGGUGAGUCGGCAGGAACUGAUCUGGCGGUUGCUGAUGCACCCAUCCGCCUCCUCUGACUCUUCAGCGACAGCGUCGCCAUCGCCCGCGGCGCUGCGGAGUGUGGAUCCGGAGGACGUCUGUGCGCACAUGUGGACGCACUCGCAGGCUAUGCACGGAGGUGCUCGUGCACAGCAAGGCACUGUGUUGCCGAUGUUGCUAUCGUCUCUAUUUCUUUCUCCCCUUGUUCACCUGCUGCUUCAUAGAACGCAUGCACGCGUACAUACACACAGCCUCAUACAUGCAUAUUCAUGCGUGAGCUGCUGUAACUCGAGCUGAGCAG